GAUGAACGCUGGCGGCGUGCCUAAUACAUGCAAGUCGAACGCAUUGAGAGAAGUGCUUGCACUUUUCAAUUUGAGUGGCGAACGGGUGAGUAACACGUGGGCAACCUACCUGAUAGCGGGGGAUAACGAGUGGAAACAUUCGCUAAUACCGCAUAACAAUAGAGAAGGCAUCUUCUUUAUUUAACAGGCGCUUUCAAGCGUCACUAUCAGAUGGGCCCGCGGUGCAUUAGUUAGUUGGUGGGGUGAAGGCAUACCAAGACGAUGAUGCAUAGCCAAGUUGAGGGACGGCACGGCCACAUUGAGACUGAUACACGGCCCAAACUCCUACGGGAGGCUGCAGUAGGGAAUCUUCCACAAGGGACGAAAGGCUGAUGGAGCAACGCCGCGUGUGUGAUGAAGGCAUUCGGGUCGUAAAGCACUGUGUAUGGGAAGAAAUGCUAGGCUAGGAAAGGAGCUUAGUUUGACGGUACCAUACCAGAAAGGGACGGCUAAAUACGUGCCAGCCGCCGCCGUAA
rnacentral:rRNA from 1 species